rnacentral:rRNA from 1 species
UACGUAGGGCGCAAGCGUUGUCCGGAAUUAUUGGGCGUAAAGAGCUCGUAGGCGGUUUGUCGCGUCUGCUGUGAAAUCCCGAGGCUCAACCUCGGGCUUGCAGUGGGUACGGGCAGACUAGAGUGCGGUAGGGGAGACUGGAAUUCCUGGUGUAGCGGUGGAAUGCGUAGAUAUCGGGAGGAACACCAGUGGCGAAGGCGACUUCCUGGCCUGUUCUUGACGCUGAUGCGCGAAAGCCAGGGGAGCGAACGGG